AAUCGCCGAGCACGCUGGGAAGGGUCAGGCUCCGGCGGGAAGGCGGAGCCGUUGGAGAGCGUGAAGGGAAGCGUGGUCUCUCCCGGAAAAACCACAAUCACCAGGAGAGCUGAGCCAGAACCCUACCCAGGACAGAACUGAGACCCACUGAAGAAAGGGUGCCUUCCCGGGAGGAGGUACCUGAGGGUUGAGAAGAGAGGCUAGGUUUUCAGUCCAAUGAAGCAGUAAUGGAGUCAAAAAAAAAAAAAAAGGCUGAGAUCAGCAGAUCCUUUUCCCACCUCCACAGACUUCCUGUGAGCCACUCACUUUGUGCACAGUUCCGAAGACGCCCAAGCCCAGCACUUUAAGCUUC